rnacentral:rRNA from 1 species
UACGAAGGGUGCAAGCGUUACUCGGAAUUACUGGGCGUAAAGCGUGCGUAGGUGGUUCGUUAAGUCUGCCGCGAAAGCCCCGGGCUCAACCUGGGAAUGGCGGUGGAUACUGGCGGACUAGAGUGCGGUAGAGGGUGGUGGAAUUCCCGGUGUAGCAGUGAAAUGCGUAGAGAUCGGGAGGAACAUCUGUGGCGAAGGCGGCCACCUGGACCAGCACUGACACUGAGGCACGAAAGCGUGGGGAGCAAACAGG